rnacentral:rRNA from 1 species
AUUGAACGCUGGCGGCAGGCCUAACACAUGCAAGUCGAGCGGAUGAAGGGAGCUUGCUCCUGGAUUCAGCGGCGGACGGGUGAGUAAUGCCUAGGAAUCUGCCUGGUAGUGGGGGAUAACGUCCGGAAACGGGCGCUAAUACCGCAUACGUCCUGAGGGAGAAAGUGGGGGAUCUUCGGACCUCACGCUAUCAGAUGAGCCUAGGUCGGAUUAGCUAGUUGGUGGGGUAAAGGCCUACCAAGGCGACGAUCCGUAACUGGUCUGAGAGGAUGAUCAGUCACACUGGAACUGAGACACGGUCCAGACUCCUACGGGAGGCAGCAGUGGGGAAUAUUGGACAAUGGGCGAAAGCCUGAUCCAGCCAUGCUGCGUGUGUGAAGAAGGUCUUCGGAUUGUAAAGCACUUUAAGUUGGGAGGAAGGGCAGUAAGUUCAUACCUUGCUGUUUUGACGUUACCAACAGAAUAAGCACCGGCUAACUUCGUG